AGUUUGCUUCUGGCCCAGGCGAGAACCUGUCCUCUGGGCAAGCCAGGGAUCGGUACAGGACUCCUAUACCCCAAGGCGAGGCGGAGGCAGGUGCCGAACGGAGGCCAGAGCCCGGCGCCCGGAGCCCGAUGGGAGGGCGUGGCGGGGAAGGGCGGUGCUCGCUCCCGUCCGGCCAGCUCCCGGCGUGACGACAGCAUGUACGAUCCCUGAAUGGGCCUGUGGGCAUAUUUAGUCAUUCAUUUUCAAUCAGGAGAAAGAAGACAGCCAUCAUUUGAAAGGUAAAGCUUCAGUGACUGAAGGGGUGUGGACUUUUUGAAUUUCAAGAACAGUAAAGUUGGAACACAGCAGAGGGUUGUAAUAAAAAAUAAUACAGAUUGGAAAGAAGACUGAUGAAGAAAAAUAACAGCAUGAUUCAGGCACACCAUUGAGUUCUUUGGGAUGCCCAAAAGUGUCUGGUUGGGAAACAUGAAAUAGAAGAUGAGACCCUGCCUCAGCAAGCGUACCUGAGAAUACUUUUAAAGGAACCUGUUGAUAAAUGCAAAACAGUAGCUGUUGCAG
rnacentral:sRNA from 1 species